UGCAGAUGAUGGCUGUGUUCUCACGAUGGUCUGCUGAGCCUCACGGUGAGGAGGCCUUGAGGACCACGCCCCAAGGGCUCUGCUGAUGCCUGGCC